rnacentral:tRNA from 1 species
GUCGACUUAGUUUAAUGGUAGAAUAGGUAACUUGUAAUUACCGGAUACUAGUUCAAUUCUAGUAGUCGGCA